rnacentral:lncRNA from 1 species
UUUUUUUUUUUUUUUUUUUUUUUUGCGUUAAUUAGCAUUUUGCUUUGUGGAAUGUCCCCAUCCCCACUUGCAUAAUUUCAUUUUUAAUCUUUAGCUUGUAACGCUUGGAACUUUGUUAUUUGUUCUUAAUUCACAAUAAAUAUUAGGUUGUUAAUCUUUCAUAUGCUGAUACCGCAUCCAUUGAAGAAUUUGAAUUGUGCAUGAUUAUUAAUUUUAAUUUUAAUUGAAACUUCAAAUAUUAUACAUAUGAAAUGCAUACACUCCUGUUGUUAUAUUCACCGUGCGAUGUAAGAAAGACUAAUCUAUAAAUGUUCUCACAUGUUGAUUUUUGCAGUCAAAAAAUCUACUUUAUCCCUGUUCGUCGAAGGUUCGGGUAAUGCCUCGCGUAAACAGAGGCAGAGAUAUUAGCACUUCAUAACCAAAGGCCUAAGGCCUGGUUUGGAUUUUAUUUUUUUGGACUUUUUGUAAAAAAAUUACUGUAACGAUUUAAUAUAUGUAAGAUAAAAAAAAUGAUUGAAAAAUAUGUCUAUAGAAAACGUAACAAUUUUUCUUUGAAAACUUACAAUCCAAACACACCCUUAGGUUAUAGCCUUUAAAUGAUUGACGGGCUACUCCCACCGAACUCAGUCGGCCACGCUCUUUCUAUUCUUGUUAAGAGUGACAGCUAAACGGCUUUCAUUGGCUUAUUUAGCAACUAAAGCAUUCAAGUCGUUGUACUACCGAUGAUCCGUGACCUUCACAGGCAAUUUCUGGUUAAAUUGCUGAAAAUCAGUAGUUUAACCCACAACAAGUAUAAAUCUCAAAAAAAAAAAGAGUAAAGGAUCCUGCUGUUUUUCAUUUAACGCAACUCCACCAAACAAAAAAAAAAAAAAAAAGAGAGCACAUUUGGUGUCGUUUUAAGUGAAAAACUGACGUAAAGAGCAGGCAGCAUAACUCAUAACCAGCUUUGUCUGAAAAAGAUAAAAUAGACCCAACCGGCUUAAUACGGCAAUAAAUGGUUAACAAGGUCGGCUACUACCACUGAUAAUGCCCCCGCCCCAGAAAAUAUGGAAUAGAGACCUAAUACCGGAGGCAAGCUGGAAAUUUAUGACCAUUAACAGAAGAAAAGAAAAGAAGAGAGAGUACUUUCUCCGGCAUCCGCUCGUUUUAUUGAAGAAGAAGAAAAGAACCGAGGUACUUUCUACUAGAUAGAAGGAAUUUAGCAGCUGAGCAUUGAAGCCGCAAGUCGAGACAUAAUAAUUGAUAGCCAAUGCGAUUGUGACUAGCCAUCGCCCCACGUGAAGAUCAAGAACUCCGCCUGUAUUUCGUCUAUUAUAUGAGCGCUGGAGUUUCAAAAUAUAACAUGUAAACCUGCAUUGCUCAGUUCUGAACUUUGCGAAAUCCUUGCAUUCCUAACACCAAAACCUCGUACACUUACCGUUGCAAGGAUGUGUGCAGGCACUUCUUACGAUAUUUAGAACUAGCUUUCAGGAUAAGGUCAAAUACAACAAUCGUCCAUGAAGCAGUUACAAGAAACCUCUUGAAUCCAGCAUAUGUCUCCAUAAAAUAGUUGAAAAUGCCUCCUGUAGAUUGUAGAAGACUGAAGUGAAAAUAUACAACUUAUUCUAGGUAUUACACAACUUUCAGGGGUCCCGAAUUAAAUGGGCUUCGAGAAAAGGAGUAUCAGAUAAUUACAGAUUGAUGUCAUUGUUGAAAAAUACCACAACUACUUAAGUUGGCAGCUUGGAGUAUGUUAACAUCUGUACACUUACUACAGCUGUGCAUUCCAAAAAUAUAUGCCACAAGAAGAAUCAAAUGAACAGCAGUUCAACAGCAACUGUAACUUGAUUAAUUUGUAAGCCAUUCUGUUAAUGUGGUCUCAAUAUAAGUUCCAUAAUUGGUUAAGGCCGGCAAAAGGAGUUGAAGAGAAAGAUCUCUCUGUCCUAAUUCCAGUUGCAAACAACCUUGUUGAAAAUGCAAAAUCAAUCAUUUAAACAAAAAGUGCAGGCAAUUUAUAUGGAGCUAAAAUCUAUCUCUGAUCCACAGAAAUAAAGUGCAACAUUUAAACAAAUAUAAAGAAGAGAAUUUGAGAGAACAUAAAGCUGGCUCUGCACCAAUCAGGCAUUACCACAUUAAAAAUCUGGGCCUAUGAGUAUGUAUCUGUCUCUAAUGCACCUAGCAUCAGUAAUUAACAGUAUACAUACAUAGACCUGGUUCACAACAUAUUUUUCCAUGAACUCAAAGUUUUGAAGAUGGUGAACUUAAUCUUUCCAACACCUGUACAACUGAAUCAACAGACGUGAACCAAGAAGUGUUACACAGCUAUACGGAAGAAUUUGCACCAUUCUUGCCAUCUAUUCAUGAACUUUCCCCUUGGAUGCAUAUAUAUACAUAAGUGGUGUCUGGGUGACACCCGGACGUAAUAACUGAACUAACAACUUGGCCUAGCAAUUAGUUCAAAAGAAAUUCAUGGCAAGACAACCAAUUUUUCUAGAUUGUGAAGUUACUUUAAAAGACUGUCAUGAAAGGGAACAACUAUGUCAUGAAAGGGAACACCCUUUAAGAAUUACCCAUAAAAUGUAACCUAUUUGCACAAUAAAAGAUGUAUUUCAUCCUGCGGAGAUGAAGUACAAGGUUGACAGCAAAUACUCAAAUACAUUACACACCAUUUGUCUGGUCUAGAUGCUAACUCCUGAGAUUCAAAUUCUUAAUUAUUUGUUUACGUGUUUGUGAUGGAUAAACAGCAGUUAUAUUUGUGGUACACAACUUACUGAAACAAAAUACUUUGUUAAGUGGAUACUAAAUUUAUGAGAAAUCAAUCUAAGAGACCAGGAAACCAUACAAGAUCAGUUUUUUCUUUAAUUGAAACCUUAACAAUAGGGCAUUCCACAGUGCCUAUCUAAAUAAGGUGCAAAAAGAACGAAGGAUGCAAUUACAAUACAGCAGGUGUAUCAAUGAACCAAAGUCUAAACAUACACUAGCCUUAGUCCUUCAAUAUCAGCAAAAACUAUAAACGAAGAGUCUUUUCUUGGUAAAGUUAUGUAUCUUCAAUAAAUUAUUGAAGCAACACACAAGCAAGUCCUUUGGUGGAGUUAGGUGUACCUGAUGUCAAUAGUUCGAGCCUCCAAACGCCAAAAUGAUUUUCUAAAAGACAAUUAGAAUUCCCGAAGAUGUUGCAGAAGCAACUUGAGCUUGAAAAAUGAAGUCUGUCAGAAGUUAACUUAGGAAUAUUUACAUCCAGCAAGUGUAGAAGUGUUGUUUCCAAUUGCUCAAUAAGCAGACCAACAACUGAGAAGGAACUUAACCAUGUCUUACACAAAAUGAACGGAUCAUUAAAAACACAAAUUUCAGUGUCAAGAGUUUAUCCCUGGAUGAUGGUAGCAGCAGCAACAACCAAAGACACGUCAGCUACUUUUGCAGUGGUUAUAACAGACAAAAUUUAUCUUUUCUGCAAGUUUUGGCUUUAUCGCUAAACAAUUGUGGUUCAUGUCAUAUCAAAGGAUGUUCAACUUUGAGGAAAGCAUCUCACACAGAAGUAUGCACUCUAGAAUAUUAUAUUACGCCAGCUAAGCAGAAUAAACUGUCAAUCCAAAUUGUUGAAGCAGAAAGAAUUUAGGUUCAUAUUACACAGAAGGUUCAGACGAAAAUCCACACUCAUUUCUUGAUGAAAGGAAUGAAAUGGAAAACCAGUAGGCACUGUUAACAGUAUUUUCAGUACCAGAACCAACACAAGACAUCAUAUAUAUCAGAUACCAAAAUACCAGUAACUUGAGUUUGAGUUCACAACUUAUGCCAAAAGCCAAAGCUCAAACAUGUCAAUAAAGGAAGCUGUACUCUCAUUAGGGUUGCAGAAAAUACAGAAAAACAUACAGCUGAUGCAGUAUACUGUUAUAUUGGCAUAUGGUUUCACCACACAUAAAAGAUCUUUUCACCAGAUAGCUAUGCUCAUAAGAAUUGAAAAGAAAAGGUAAUAGUGGCACCCUGGGGCCACAAAGUGGGGUAGAAAAUAAGGAGAAAGACUAUCUUCCAUUUAUCACUGGAAUCUCCAUGGUGAAUGCUAUUGUACAGGAAAAGCUUGAAGUAGACAGGUUUUUACAACGAACCACUAUAUAUCAGAGGCACCUCCUAUAAUCAGCCAAACCAGAUCCUAAUACAUGAUAAACUAUUUUUCCCUAUUAAAUUGCUCAUUUUGCAGGUAUUUCAGCACUCCAUAGGCAACAGUGCCGGCGA